rnacentral:rRNA from 1 species
GAUGAACGCUGGCGGCGUGCCUAAUACAUGCAAGUCGAGCGAACGGACGAGAAGCUUGCUUUUCUGAUGUUAGCGGCGGACGGGUGAGUAACACGUGUAUAACCUACCUAUAAGACUGGGAUAACUUCGGGAAACCGGAGCUAAUACCGGAUAAUAUUUUGAACCGCAUGGUUCAAAAGUGAAAGACGGUCUUGCUGUCACUUAUAGAUGGAUCCGCGCUGCAUUAGCUAGUUGGUAAGGUAACGGCUUGCCAAGGCAACGAUGCAUAGCCGACCUGAGAGGGUGAUCGGCCACACUGGAACUGAGACACGGUCCAGACUCCUACGGGAGGCAGCAGUAGGGAAUCUUCCGCAAUGGGCGAAAGCCUGACGGAGCAACGCCGCGUGAGUGAUGAAGGUCUUCGGAUCGUAAAACUCUGUUAUUAGGGAAGAACAUAUGUGUAAGUAACUGUGCACAUCUUGACGGUACCUAAUCAGAAAGCCACGGCUAACUACGUG